UCUGUUUCCCGUAGUCCGAAGUGCCGUUGUGUAAAUAGAUAUUGAAAGAGGGGUUUAGACUUUCAUAAACCGGGGAUUUAAGAUUAAGAGUAAUCUUUCAGUCUCAUAAACACCUUAUACCAGAUACUUAUAACUGUUUAAACUAACGUCGUCCCCGCUGUUUCAAUCACGUCAGGAGUGGCACGUGUAUAUAAAGUCCCAUUUUAGUUUGAAGUCAAUCUUCCUGUACUAGUCCGUCCUCUAAGUACGUCGUAACCUACACUCUCCGGGAUUUACGUAAAUCGUACACUUUUCUACACAAAUCAUAACAAGGUUCAACAAUGGAAAGCUUUUCUCUUGCGUUGUCCCUAUUAAAAAAGAAGCUUCGUGCUCAAUUGGUGUUCCUUAGAGGUACGAAAACGUGGCCUGUCUGGAGUUCCUUGGAGACGGCUUCUAAAUGCACCACUUCCUGAGCUUGACAUAGAGUGCAGGUGAGCCGGUGUGGACCCAACCGACGGUUGUCGGGAGACUAACUUGUUGACGAGGCAGAUAGGCUCAGAGACAGCCAGCCGACAAGAAGAGCCUGUAGUGGUAUGUCGAGGAGUCGUCGUUUGAGUACACGAAGAGGUGGUCUUAGUUAAGGGCUCGACAACUAUAGGGGAUAAGGAGAUUCCUAUACGGGUACCACUUCGUUUUUUUUUAGUUCGAAAUAUUCGAGGCGCCGGAGUUCCGGUUAGGGGUCCAACUACGGUGGCGAUGACUGAAACGGUGUAGGGAUAAUGUCAAAUUAAAAAUUAAAUAAUCUCUUUGACCUAGUCACGAACCCCGACCACACGAUG
rnacentral:rRNA from 1 species